rnacentral:lncRNA from 1 species
GAUCUUGUAUCUUUUUCAGGUUCCAUCACCCCCUAGAAGAGGACAGGGUUUGUUAGAUAAGGAAGAAGGAUCUCACAGAAGCUCUAGCAACAGAGAAGAGCAUACUCACAGAGGAAACUCCGAGGACAGGGAAGAUCGCGUGCAUGGGAGGAGCCCUGGUGAUACAUUAGAUCACGCUUACGACAAAAGUUCCCAAGGAAGAACAUCGCCAUGACAAGAGGCGCCAUCAGGAUCAGGAGUUUUCCAAUAGGAAGAGCUCGCUGGAAUUAGAAGAGAAGCACCAUUACAGAAGCUCUGUGGAGAAGGAAGAAACUGUAAGAAGCUCUUUGGAUGGGGAAGAGCGCUCUCGCAAACGGAGCUCCAUUGAUGAUGAUGGACGUAUCAAGAAAAGGAGCAGAAGAAGUUCAUCGGAGAGAGAGGAUCAUAAAGAGAGAGACUCGUCUGAUAGAGAGGAGCGCCAUCACAAAAGCAGGUCUCGAGAUGAGAAAGAACGCUCUUAUAAGCGUCACAAACAUCGUGAGAGAUCCCAUCAGCAUGAGGGGAAAAGAUCAAUCAGUCGAGAAUAUCCAUCUGAUUAUUGAUUUUUGGGCAGUUUGCCUUUGGUUUGAAUCCAGAGAAACAUGCACGUAGGGAUUGCUUUUUGCUUGCCUUCUACAGAGUGUAAUAAGGAGAAUUAUGUGCAUAGAGAUUUUAAGUAAUUUUACCUGACAUGCUGAGGCGUCCUCGACAUUACUACAACGAAGCCACAGAGAGUGACCAGCGGGACUUUUGCAGAGGAUGGUUUGCCGGUAUUGAGGAACUAGAGUUGUCAGACCCUCGGUUAUUGAUUGCAAGCAAGAUAGUCGUCCUGUUUCUGUGAUUGAGUUUAACCAGAGGUGUGAAUACGGAAGGCAUACUGAGGGAGAAGUCGUCUUGUUUCUGUGACUGAGUUUAACCAACACCUAAUUCCUUCCGGAGGUAGUCCAUCUGAGUCACAACUUUUAGAUGUGCCAACAAUUGUCAUUGAAAGCAACUCUUCAAUUGGAUAUAUGACGGGUUGUGCUCAGAUUGAAAGUAACUCNNNNNNNNNNNNNNNNNNNNNNNNNNNNNNNNNNNNNNNNNNNNNNNNNNNNNNNNNNNNNNNNNNNNNNNNNNNNNNNNNNNNNNNNNNNNNNNNNNNNNNNNNNNNNNNNNNNNNNNNNNNNNNNNNNNNNNNNNNNNNNNNNNNNNNNNNNNNNNNNNNNNNNNNNNNNNNNNNNNNNNNNNNNNNNNNNNNNNNNNNNNNNNNNNNNNNNNNNNNNNNNNNNNNNNNNNNNNNNNNNNNNNNNNNNNNNNNNNNNNNNNNNNNNNNNNNNNNNNNNNNNNNNNNNNNNNNNNNNNNNNNNNNNNNNNNNNNNNNNNNNNNNNNNNNNNNNNNNNNNNNNNNNNNNNNNNNNNNNNNNNGAGUUCAUCCAUCUUAGACAAAUGACGAGAAGGUGAUUUAUCCAAAAGUGGACCGACAGCUCCAUUUCAUCCUGUUAUAUCCUCUGAGUCCCUCAAAAUGAAUGAACAUAAUGACAAAGGAAUGGAAUGGACCCGAUUGGGAUGAUGUGACGUUGAUUUACGUUGAGUUCGGCAUGAUGGAAAGGAAUGGAAUGGAAAAGGUUUUCAAUUUCUUUGUUUGGUAAUUAUAGACAAAUAGUUCGAAAUGGAGAGAGGAAGGGUGAUUCAUUUAUGUUCAAUUUAUCUCUUUCAAUUUGGAUGCUAUGAGGUAGGCCUUAGGAAGUUCUUGUAGAGGAAGGAGGGAUUCUUAAUUGUUACCAGGAUGGAACGGAAUGUGAUUUCUGCAAAUUAAAUUUUCAAUUCAUUAAUAGACCCGUGUUCAAUUCAAUAAAGGAAAAAUUCCAAAUAAGGGUAUGAAAUGUAUUCAAUUUUCAAGAAAGGGUCUGGAAAUGGAUAUUGUUCCAAGUAAAGGUCUAAAGUAUUCUUAUUUUUUUAAAUAAAGAUUUGAAGUGGAAUUUGUUUCAAAUAAGGACAACUUUCCAGUGGGUUAAAGGUAUUUUUGUCCUUUUAUCUUAUUUGACCCUUUUUUUUUUUUUUCGUGAUUUUCUCUUUGUCUUGGCCAUCGACGAUGCCUAAAGAGGGUUGGGCAAGCUUGCCUCACCUCAUCCUAGCUAAGCCACUCUCACUAAUAGUUGGCGAGGGAUGGCCUUGCCUCGAUGAGGCCACCCUCGAAAGCUACAAGUGAGGCUAGCCCUCUCUAGAUUUGGGAGAGGGUCGCCUCGCUAGCCUUAGGCAAGUCCGGUCCUCACAAAAUCUAGGCGAGAAAAUGAAGGUACUUCAGAUUUAUGUUUGGAAUUUUUUCUUAAAUAAAUACCAAGUAUAUUUGAAUUAAUAACUAUCAAGUAUUUAGUUAAAAACAAUAAAUAUCAUUUAACCUUUUGAUAUUUUAAAUAAUUUAAUUGUUGAGGACAUUUAACGAUCAAGUAUUUUAUCGGAUUUGUUUAGUUAAUAUCACUAUAAUUGUAAAUAAGCCGUAAAGUUAUAAGUGGUCAAACUUACUAUAAUAUCUAUGAUCUCUCAAUUUCGUAGAUUGUAUGUUUGUUGUUAUUAUUAGGUUUACUCAUUUUCUAAAAGAUUAAUAAACAUAAUUUACGGUAGCAAUUGUUUGUCGAGUUAUACAAAUUAGUUGUCCUUUUUUUUUCUUGGUUAAAUUUUAUUUUGAGGGGAUUUGGGGAUAUAAAAUUGGAAGCUUUAUGUAUUUACCUGAGAAGAGAUGUGAGAUUUAUUAUGUGCAGACUCAUUAUGCGCAAAACUUCUAUUCAUGCACUAACCUUCCUGGACUUGUUCCUCCACUACCAGAUGUUGGGAGGCAUAAAAAUCGGAGCAGGGGAAAAGUUGUAAGAGGUUCAAACCCAAAGAUAAAAUGGAGGAAACUUCAUAUCUGUGAAACAAACCAACAUGAAGUCACCAGAUAUCCUGACAUCCAACUCAAUUGCCCAGGCUUUGAUGCACAAGAAUCGGCCUCUCAACAUGUGGGAGUCUUGGUAACUCUCGAAAUUUAUUUUAGAAAAGGAUGAGCAAUGAUCAUGGGCAGAUAUUGAUUCCCACAGGUCAUUGCUUUCCUUUUAGAAAAUUUUGCCCAUCUCCCACGAGUUUCAACCCUUGUUUCCCUUCCCCCUUUUUUUUAAUUGAAACUUUCCUCGUAGAAGACUCCAAAAAUCUCUUUUUAUUCUGCCAACCUACGGUUUCCCCUCGAGUCUCCAUUGGAUUCGAUUUCUUCAGCCGCGUUGAACCACUUGAUUCUCUAUUUUCCCUGUUGUUCCUUGGCCGAGAAUCUCCAGAAUAUGCGUCCCUUGUUCACUUCCCAAUUUCGCAAAAAUUAACGCCUCAAAUCUCACCUUCCUUUGCUCGAUGGGAAUUGGUUGAACUUUAUUGCCCUUUGUUCAUGUUGCGAAGAGGAAGCUGAAUCCUAAAAGCCACGUCCCCAGAUCUGGGCAAGGCUGGCCGUGACCCUCACCCAAACGGUGAUCGCGGAAAGAGAAAAUAGGAAAAGAGGAAAAAGAAAAUAAAAAAUAAAAAAUUCGAAAAAUAUUAAAAUAUUUUAAAAAUUGUUCACAUGAGUGCUGGUCGAGUCGCAUAGAAUGGAUAAUGUCCAAGUCAGCAAACUCUGGCCAUAAUUGGCCGAAUAUGAAAAUGUUUAGAAUUUAAUUGAUAAAAUUGAAAGGUUUAUGAUUAAAUUGACAAUAAUUCAAUAGGUUUAUAACUUUUUUGACAAUNNNNNNNNNNNNNNNNNNNNNNNNNNNNNNNNNNNNNNNNNNNNNNNNNNNNNNNNNNNNNNNNNNNNNNNNNNNNNNNNNNNNNNNNNNNNNNNNNNNNNNNNNNNNNNNNNNNNNNNNNNNNNNNNNNNNNNNNNNNNNNNNNNNNNNNNNNNNNNNNNNNNNNNNNNNNNNNNNNNNNNNNNNNNNNNNNNNNNNNNNNNNNNNNNNNNNNNNNNNNNNNNNNNNNNNNNNNNNNNNNNNNNNNNNNNNNNNNNNNNNNNNNNNNNNNNNNNNNNNNNNNNNNNNNNNNNNNNNNNNNNNNNNNNNNNNNNNNNNNNNNNNNNNNNNNNNNNNNNNNNNNNNNNNNNNNNNNNNNNNNNNNNNNNNNNNNNNNNNNNNNNNNNNNNNNNNNNNNNNNNNNNNNNNNNNNNNNNNNNNNNNNNNNNNNNNNNNNNNNNNNNNNNNNNNNNNNNNNNNNNNNNNNNNNNNNNNNNNNNNNNNNNNNNNNNNNNNNNNNNNNNNNNNNNNNNNNNNNNNNNNNNNNNNNNNNNNNNNNNNNNNNNNNNNNNNNNNNNNNNNNNNNNNNNNNNNNNNNNNNNNNNNNNNNNNNNNNNNNNNNNNNUUAUGCCAAUAAUUUCUCUGUACUAUUCAAAUUAAUUACAAAAAAAACCAAUGUAUAUCCCAUGAAUAAUAUUUGUCUGGAGUAUAUUACUAACAGAGUCUCAAAGUGAGGAGGGGCUGUGGCAAUGAGCUAUCAAAAAAAAAUAAAAAAUAGUCUCGCAUUCUCAAUAGAAAAAGAAAAAGUAAAAAAAGGACAGUCUCGCAUCAUCUACUUUUCGAGAAUUAAUUUCGUUUCUUCUAGUGAGACUCAUUCCUUCUUUUCCCUCUAUAUUAAACAUGGCUGCAGACCACCGGGGACCUCCUUGAAAAGAAAACAUGUUGGUUGUUCCAGAUGCCAUCAAGCCAAGAACUUCGUGUUUCUCAUGAUCGUUAUAUAUAUGUAAUAUGUCAUAAUACUCUUGGUAUGUUCAAGAUGUAGUAGAAUUACUUCAAUUCCCUAUAUUCCGCAAAUCAUAUUCCAUACAUUCUCAUCUGUAGACUUGUCUUGACAAUAGUAAAAUAAAAAGAGAUAAAUUUCACAGUUUAAUAUUGAAUAAUGUUCACCCGAGUAGAGACAACUCAACACUGUCUUGCACAUUAGGAAGUGGGGCAAUUUCAUUGGUCCACUCAAGGAGCCUCCUAUCUCGAUACCUAUCUGGUGGCAUAAUUGUUCAAAAUUUUUUAAAUAUAUUGUAUGAUGAUCAAUUCAUUUAUACUUUUUGUUGUCAAUUAAGUUCUAAACUUUAUGACAAUUUGCCUAUAUAGACUUCUGUCAAUUUUGCCCAUAAAAUGCUAACAUGGUGGUCAAGUCAAAGUCGCUAUUUUUCGUAGUACGAUUGACGAUGACAUGGAUGCUUUUUGAAAAAAAUUAUAUUUUUUUUCCUUUUUCUUUACUUUUAUUUUUUUUUCAUUCAUUGUAUUAUUGGUAGGAAAAACAAUAUAUAUUUUUUCCCAAAAUUUGUCCACGCCAGUGCCGGCCAUACCACAUUAGAUGGUUACGGUAACUGAAUUGCCAUUUCAAUGAUUUUAGGCAAAAAUUGACCAAAAGUGGUACUUUGGUCUUGGAUUAAAUUGGCAAAAUUAAAAAAAAAAAAAUCAAGAUUGUACUGACUACCAUAUGAUAGGUUUACGACUUGCUCGGAAAUUUUCCAUUAUUCGGUUGUGACAAGCGGGCUGCCUAGUGUAAUAAGAAUGGCCUGACGCUCUAAGAGAUCCAUAUACUCAAAGAAAAAAAAAAAUGAAAAAGAAAGGAGUGCAUGAACAAGACUGUGAAGCUAAAACAAUGCUAAUAGGUGCAACUGUGAUAAGGGUUACAUUGCAGUUGUUGGGGGCAAACCAUGAAUUUUAGCUUGAAAAAGACCUAUUGACAAGUCGUAAUUGCCCCAUGGUCCAUGAAUGACGGCUACUCUAGAAAUUAAGCACUACCCGAGUCCAUUCUAAGAAAAUUUAGGGAUACUUUACUCAUCUUUUUGUAUGCUGAGCUUCGGUAUAUGCCUACUAUAUUUUGUCCUUGAUAAGCAAAUGUACAUAAUAUAUAUGAGGUGAAAGACAAUUCUAUGAGAAAUUAUACAAUAGUCUAGAUGUAAUAUCAUUUGGAUGUACAAUGCCAAGAAGAGAAUUCCUAUCGAGCAAUAUAGGUGUUGACAAAGAAAGGAUUUUUUGCUCUGGACUUUUCCACCUAUCAGCUCGUCCUAUUGGCCUCAUCAUUAGCACGUAUAUCUCUUGGGUCACUGGGAGGGAUGACCUAAAUCUGUGCUAUCCGCUUGGCUUACCAACUAGAGAAGGUGAUCGGCAUUUUAUGGCAAUACAAAAUCCGAAGCACAUUUAUUUCCUUAUUCGGUCUCGCAACCCCAGCCCUGGCGGUCCCUUAAUAAUAAAAAAAGAAUAAAAUAAAAUAAUUAAUAAAAAAUUAGAAAAAAAAUCAGUAUCGGUCGUGCCAUAUAGGAUGAUAAAUAUUCAGGUUGGCAAAAUAGGUUACACUGAAAAAUUAUCAAAAUGUUUACGAUUAUAUUGACCAAAUUGAGAAGUUUAAAAUUAAAUGAGUAAGUUCAUAGCUUCUUUAGUAAAAGGAAGGAGAGAUCAAGAAUCAAAGUCAGAAAUAUAUUUUGGUUGAGAACCGCGAAGGAUUCGGAACAACGAGCAAGAAUGAAAUCACCGCCUUGUCUUUCCCUCCCUCCCUCUCUAGACUUUGAGCAAGUUGUUCGUUUCUAGUUGCAGAGUUCAGAAGAUGCUCGGUUGCUCCUGCUGCCGAAUUUCGAACUCUGUCAUCGUCUACUCAUGCCUGAGAAAUGCAAGGGUCGGUUUGGUCAGGCCGAUUUCGAUUUUCAAGUUCUUGAUGGCUCCUGAAUUUUGUCAACAUUUUGGACACUUUCCGUUAGCGGCUUUUCGUCACCCGCACCCAAAGGCUAGAGAGAGAAAAAAGAGAAUAUAUUUUGGAGAGAGAGAGUGAUGAAAGGAAAAACCCUCAUUGAAAAAAUACAUAAAAUCCUUUAAUUCUUUAGAUGCGUUUGCUUCAUGAAAUAUCGCCAAUUUGAAAUACUUCUAAAUAUACUCACUUCUAUUACUUGUAACAAUGAAUUAAUGAGAGAAACAUUUUAUCAUCAAUAACAUGUUUAGGCAAAGAUUAUUAUUGAUGAGAAAAUAUAUUCCAUUAACUAAUUUUUUCUAAUCAAUACAAAUAACUAUAUUUAGAAAAAUGUUUGUGAAUCAUUGAUUUUUCUCCAUGAAAAAUCAAUAAUAACUUUUGAAACUCAACCUCUUUCAUUUUUACUACUAAUAUCGCUGUUAGCUUCGUUAUCACAUUUUGGCCAUCAAAGACCUUUACUCUUAUAACUAAUAUUAAAGGAUUUUAGUCACUAAUGAGGACAAUUAGAGAAUAUUGCUAGAUUAAUAAGGCAUUAUGUAGUUUAGCAUCCAUAAAAAUUUAUCUAAUAGCCAUCUUCACGAUCGAUUCAAUAAGUUACUCUAGUUUCUAUUUUUCAAAGUAUUAAAAAGCACAAGUAAAAUUCACCAUGUAAUUGCAGAAUACUAUUUUAAUAUCACGUAAUAAUCAUUUAUGAUUAGAAAAUAUUUCAGUAUGAUAAAUGGAAUAUUGUACAGUAUAUAGUAUUGCUAUAUCAUAAUUAAUGCUAAUAAAAUAUUAUGAAAAAUUUAGCAUUGUUAUAUUCUAAUAAAUUUUUUUAUGAAUAAUUAAAAUUAACAAGACGUUGUAUUAUCGACAUUUAGUAACCUAAUAAUUGAUAUCAUAUUAUAUGAAUAGAAGGACAAAAAUGAAAUGGACAUUGCAUAGGUCUUCCUAAUGAAUCCCCGUUCCUUUAAAAGUUGGAACGAGCAUCCCCAUAUUUAGUAAAUACACUUAAUAAAGUCAAACGAUGAGACGUUAAAAAAGUUCAGAACCCGGUUAAUUAAUUUCCUUAUGGAAAAAGAAAAAUACCUUUUCGAUUACUAAGUAAACUUUCAUAAAAAAAAAAAAAAAAAAGAGCAUCCUCCCAUCUUCCUCUGUUUUUGCUGCGCUUUCGUCUUCCUCGGAGACUCUGUUCCUAGAGAGAGAAAGUAGAGAGAGAGGGAGAGAGGGAGAUGAGCAGGAACAGCAGCAGCAGGCUGAACUCGGUGUUCUACGCGGAGUCGUACCACCCGAUCCAGGCGGGCAGCAUCGACGGCACCGACGUCCUCCCCCACGACAACGCCGUCUCCCGCGCCCACCUCUGCUCCUCCGCCGGCCUCUGUAAAAUCCCCCCUCCCUCUUCUCUUUCCCGUUUUCCUUGCUUACUUCCUGGGUUUCUGACUCCGUUUUCGAUUCCCCCCCAGACGACCCCUUUGGCGAUCCCAAGGCCGUGGGCGACCCGUACUGCACCCACUUCGUCGGGCGCCUCUCCCACUUCACCUCCGAGGACACUCUCCUCAAGGUCUGGCCUUUGUCUUGAUUUUGAGGUUUUCUUUCACUCCCAUUUCUCUCUUCUCUCUCUUUUUGAGGAAGAGUUUUUUCUUUUUUUGUGGGUGUUUUAGUUGUGGAGUUCGUUUGAGGUGACAAUGGCUGCCUGCCUGCUUUGGGGAAGUACUUGGGAGAUAACUAAAUGAUGCAACUUUGGCGUCGUUCUCGUGAUUUAUGAGGGGAGUGUUGGGAGAUGGAACUUUGUUUUGUUUUCGAGGAUGGGAAUGGAAAUGCUUGCCGAAAUAUGGCAGUUUUGGUGUUUAAAAAACGUAUUUUUGGCGGUUCCGACUGCUAGAUGGAGCAUUUUGCCUUCAAUUACCGCUUUUUCUAACAGUCUUUCGAUUGAUUUAGGCUUUUUUGACCGACAGUAUGAGUUCCCUUGUGCAGGCUAUGAGCAAGUAUGGUCAUGUGAAAAACUUGCGCUUGGUCAGGCACAUUGGUAACCAUCUUAUUAGCUCUUGUAAUUUCUAUGAUUUUCAGUUCAUCGAGAGAUCAUGAUAAGUGCUUCGAGUUGAUAGUAAUUCAAACUUCACUUAAUAUGAAAGAAAUCUUGGUAGCUUGCACUUUACUCACUGUUUUGACAGAGCAGCAAUGCUCGAUCUCUAACUUAUUAUAUGCUUAGUUUUUUGAUACCCUAAUUUUUGUGGAGAUGUUUUAGCGGCAGUAGUGUAUAUAACUUUUUAACAUUACCGAUAGCCAAUUUGAAGCUAGUAAGGAUCGCUGGUUUUACCAUAUUCUUUAUCCUGUGCAUAUGAGCCGAUUGCAUUUUGGAUGGCAUAGUUGUUUGUGCCUCCUUUUAAAUUCGAGGUAUUGGCUCUACAAAUUUCUUACUCUGUCGCUGCCUGUUUGCAGUGACUGGUGCCUCAAGACAUUAUGCUUUCGUUGAAUGUGAAACUGAAAGAGAAAUGAGAUGUGCAUAUAAGGUACUUUUACUCUGUUCUAGGCAUGACAUUGUGCUUGAUACUGGGUAGAAGCCUAAUGUUAAUUCUUCUGAAUUGGUCCUCAUGUCUUUGAGAUAGUCCGUGACAUGCUGCUGAUGAGGCUUUUAUUGUUGACUCAUUGUUGACGCUUUGCCAUGCACCUUCUUAAGAGCUUUUUGGGUGCCUUUCUCAUCAUAUCUAAUAGCUAGAUACAUUGCGUAAGUCAACCUUGAGAUCUAACUAUGAGUGCAUUUGGAUUCAGAACGAAGGAGAUUGGAAGACAUGCAAAAUUAAGAUAAAAAUCUGUAUAGAGAACUCAUUUGAGAGCUUCUUCAUGUGGUUGCUGCUUUUAGUCACCAUUUUAUUUAGGUUGAAGAUUAAUGUCAAUAGGAUGUGAACUUGAUGUAUGUUGGUUAUGAAGCACUGAUGCCAUGUUUUGUUGAAAAACUACUGCAAUGUUCUUAGUGAAAAAAGACUGGAAGAAAUGUGUAACCAAUAAAAAAUUAGGAAAAGCUACUAGAAAAUCACACAUUUUCACCAACCGAAAUUUGAAGGAGUAGUUGUGAUCCUUUUGGACACUUAAAAAAUCCUAGUAUUCUGCUGCAAAGAUGAAGCUGGGCCACAUUUGAUGAUACUAACUCUUUCUAUAUUGUCAUUAUAUGAUCAGUCGCCCAAUCCCAUUGGAUGACUUGAAGAGGCUGGGCAUUCCACCUCCUCCAGAGGGACGUGACAUGUCUCGCUUUGAGGUAUUGUCUCUGUUGUAUCUAAAUGCUGCAUAUAGCUCCAUCGAAAUGCAUUUAGCCCUCCUGAGUUAGUUAUGAAAUUUCAUUUACCAUUAACUUCUAUACCAGAGUGUCGUGAUAUUUCUUAGGUUAAGUCUGACUAUAAUUCAAAACUAAGACCUGGACCAGCUAAAUGAACGAUGGCGUCGAUGGAGGUACUAGCCCUCACUAAUUGAGCUCACUUCCUUAUUCAUUCCAUCAUCCAAUAUCCACUGCUCAAAUGUUUUAUAUUCUUGUUGUACAAGAAGGGAUUUUCCAUGAAAAGGGUGCUCGCCUUUUUACUCAUGAAAAUAUAAUUCCACUGUUGAGAAUUCCUUUUCACCUUAUUUCCAUAAGUAAGCUUGGCCUAAUCAGCCUCUUUAUAGAUCUGCCUAGAUCCUUGUUCCCCUCCCCUUCUAAGACACUCUUCUGGCAUUUGUGGAAACCAUCACCCUUGAGGACUUAAUUUGUGGGCAUGGAUGAGCAUGAAGGUUAAGUGGCAUUCCCGAGGUUGCUGUAGAUUUGGUGGGAGGUUACCCAGGGGGAAUUUUUCGGUUUUGAAGUUAAUCCACUUUUUCAUGGCUUUAUUUGGGAUAAAGGCAUGUGGAAACGUUAACUCUUAGCUUUACUUUCUUCUAUAUUAAGGUUUUACUGAAAUUCUUUACUUGAACGUACUAUUAGAAAUGGAACUAGUAAUACUUUUCCUUGGUAUAGUUUUCCAUGCUAUUGUUUGCCUUUUGCCCCUCAACGGGCAUAAUGUUUCCAAAUCCAUUAGGGGGAGGAAGCUAUAAUUAGCUUUCUGUACUUCAGUGCACCUUACUGGAUGAAUUUGGGUUUGUUAAGUCCUGUGGAGCGACUGGCCUUGGAGACUAAGUUUAUGCCCAUUUGGUGAUUGGGUUGCAUAACAUUUCGAACUCCAUUAGGGGAGGAGGCUAUAAUUAGCUUUCUGUAUUUCAUUGCACCUUGAUGGAUGUAUUUGGGUCUGUUAAGUUCCGCGGAGUGACUGGCCUUGGAGACAAAGUUUACGCACUUUUGGUGAAUGGGCUCGGCCUUCUUUUCCCCUUUUGACUUUCCUGUGAUAAUUCCAUGGCAAUUUGCACUGCCUCAUGUUGAGUUCAUUCUCCUUUAGGAAAUUUGCAAGAAGAGUAUCUGAGCAGUAGCCUUUUUGAGUUUUUCAUGAGUCGUGACAUUUAUUAUGAAGCUUGUAUAGCAGAAUGUCAUGAUCUUGUAUCUUUUUCAGGUUCCAUCACCCCCUAGAAGAGGACAGGGUUUGUUAGAUAAGGAAGAAGGAUCUCACAGAAGCUCUAGCAACAGAGAAGAGCAUACUCACAGAGGAAACUCCGAGGACAGGGAAGAUCGCGUGCAUGGGAGGAGCCCUGGUGAUACAUUAGAUCACUCUUACGACAAAAGUUCCCAAGGAAGAACAUCGCCAUGACAAGAGGCGCCAUCAGGAUCAGGAGCUUUCCAAUAGGAAGAGCUCGCUGGAAUUAGAAGAGAAGCACCAUUACAGAAGAUCUGUGGAGAAGGAAGAAACUGUAAGAAGCUCUUUGGAUGGGGAAGAGCGCUCUCGCAAACGGAGCUCCACUGAUGAUGAUGGACGUAUCAAGAAAAGGAGCAGAAGAAGUUCAUCGGAGAGAGAGGAUCAUAAAGAGAGAGACUCUUCCGAUAGAGAGGAGCGCCAUCACAAAAGCAGGUCUCGAGAUGAGAAAGAACGCUCUUAUAAGCGUCACAAACAUCGUGAGAGAUCCCAUCAGCAUGAGGGGAAAAGAUCAAUCAGUCAAGGAAUAUCCAUCUGAUUAUUGAUUUUUGGGCAGUUUGUCUUUGGUUUGAAUCCGGAGAAACAUGCACGUAGGGAUUGCUUUUUGCUUGCCUUCUACAGAGUGUAAUAAGGAGAAUGAUGUGGAUAGAGAUUUUAAGUAAUUUUACCUCACAUGCUGAGGCGUCCUUGACAUUACUACAACGAAGCCACAGAGAGUGACCAGCGGGACUUUUGCAGAGGACGGUUUGCCGGUCUUGAGGAACUAGAGGUGUUAGAAACUCGGUUAUUGAUUGCACGAGUGAUGGUCGUCUUGUUUCUGUGAUUGAGUUUAACCAGAGGUGUGAAUACGGAAGGCAUACUGAGGGAGAAGUCGUCUUGUUUCUGUGACUGAGUUUAACCAGAGCCGUGAAUACGAAAGGCAAACUGAGGGAGACUUCGCCAUCCGGAACACCUAAUUCCUUCCGGAGGUACUCCAUCUGAGUAACAACUUUUAGAUGUGCCAACAAUUGUCAUUGAAAGCAACUCUUCAAUUGGAUACAUGACGGGUUGUGCACAGAUUGGCAAGGGAAAUCGAAUUGUUAUCGCAUAAGCGCAGGCUAACGCACCUUUUCAUCUUUUAGGCACUCUAGUGCUAGUCUUUUGUUAUUCGUAACAUAAUUUCCUUAUCAGGAAGCUGCUUCACUCCCACGCAGAAGACAAUACUAAGCUCUGUAUCCUUUCGGUCUGUUUAAGGCCCAAUUCUCUAAAUUUCUCUGCUGAAAAAAUCAUCUCACAGUUCAUCUACUCUUCUCGAGGGAGGACGGGGUCCCCCUAAUCACUUUUGAGUAUUAGGUAUCAUACUGUUCCCGAUUAACUUCGCAUAUUAGCGUGACCAGGUCUUCGGAAAUGAGUUCAUCCAUCUUAGACAAAUGACGAGAAGGUGAUUUAUCCAAAAGUGAACCGACACCUCCAUUUCAUCCUGUUGUGUCCUCUGAGUCCCUAAAAAUGAAUGAACAUAAUGACAAAGGAAUGGAAUGGACCCGAUUGGGAUGAUGUCACGUUGAUUUACGUUGAGUUCGGCAUGAUGGAAAGGAAUGGAAUGGAAAAGGUUUCAAUUUCUUUGUUUGGUGAUUAUAGACAAAUAGUUCGAAAUGGAGAGAGGAAGGGUGAUUCAUUUAUGUUCAAUUUAUCUCUUUCAAUUUGGAUGCUAUGAGGUAGGCCUUAGGAAGUUCUUGUAGAGGAAGGAGGGAUUCUUAAUUGUUACAAGGAUGGAACGGAAUGUGAUUUCUGCAAAUUAAAUUCUCAAUUCAUUAAUAGACCCGUGUUCAAUUCAAUAAAGGAAAAAUUCCAAAUAAGGGUAUGAAAUGUAUUCAAUUUUCAAGAAAGGGUCUAGAAAUGGAUAUUGUUCCAAGUAAAGGUUUAAAGUAUUCUUAUUUUUUUAAAGAAAGAUUUGAAGUUGAAUUUAUUUCAAAUAAGGACAACUUUUCAGUGAGUUAAAGGUAUUUUUGUCCUUUUAUCUUAUUUGACCCUUUUUUUUUUCGUGGUUUUCUCUUUGUCUUGGCCAUCGACGAUGCCUAAAGAGGGUUGGGCAAGCUCGCCUCACCUCAUCCUGGCUAAGGCCACCCUCACUAAUAGUCGGUGAGGGAUGGCCUUGCCUCGAUGAGGCCACCCUCGAAAGCUACAAGCGAGGCUAGUCCUCGCUAGAUUUGGGAGUGGGUCGCCUCGCUAGCCUUAGGCGAAUCCGGCCCUCACCAAAUCUAGGCGAGAAAAUGAAGGUACUUUUGAUUUAUGUUUGGAAUUUUUCCUUAAAUAAAUACCAAGUAUAUUUGAAUUAAUAACUAUCAAGUAUUUAGUUGAAAACAAUAAAUAUCAUUUAACCUUUUGAUAUUAUAAAUAAUUUAAUUGUUGAGGACAUUUAACAAGCAAGUAUUUUAUCAUAUUUGUUUAGUUCACUAUAAUUGUAAAUAAGCCGUAAAGUUAUAAGUGGUCGAACCUACUAUAAUAUCUAUGAUCUCUCAAUUUCUUAGAUCACAUGUUUGUUGUUAUUAUUAGGUUAACUCAUUUUCUAACAGAUUAAUAAACAUAAUUUAUGGUAGCAAUUGUUUGUCGAGUUAUACAAAUUAGUUGUCCUUUUUUUUUCUUGCUUAAAAUUUAUUUUGAGGGGGUUUGGGGAUAUAAAAUUGAAAACUUUAUGUAUUAAACUGAGAAGAGAUGUGAGAUUUAUUAUGCGCAAAACUUCUGUUCAUGCAAUGACCUUCCUAGACUUGUUCCUCCACUACUGGAUGUUGGGAGGCAUAAAAAUCGGAGCAGGGGAAGAGUAGUAAGAGGUUCAAACCCAAAGAUAAAAUGGAGGAGACUUCAUAUUUGUGAAACAAACCAACAUGAAGUCGCCAGAUAUCCUGACAUCCAAGUCCAUUGCCCAGGUUUUGAUGCACAAGAACCGGCCUCUCAACAUGUGGGAGUCUCGGUAACUCUCGGUCGGAAUUUCAAAGUCUUCUGUUGAAAAUCCAAAGAUGGAAGACUUCCAAGUCUCAAUAACUUUGAGUUGGAAUUUCAAAGUCUUCCUUCAAAAAUCCAAAGAUGGAAGACUUCCGAGUCUCAUUAACUCUCGAUUGGAAUUUCAAAGUCUUCCUUCAAAAAUCCAAAGAUAAAAGACUUCCGAGUCUCAGUAACUCUCAGUUGGAAUUUCAAAGUUUUCCUUCAAAACUCCAAAGAUGGAAGACUUCCGAGUCUUAGUAACUCUCGGUUGGAAUUUCAAAGUCUUCCUUCAAAAAUCCAAAGAUGGAAGACUUCCAAGUCUCCUUUUUUUAGUAGACUUUUACAGUUUUUUCUUGCCCUUCAUUUACUCAAUAUAGAACAUUGAAAGAUAAAGGUAUAGAUAGUUUUUUCUUGAAUGACUCAAUGUGGAACAUUCAAAGGUAUAGAUAGUUCAUGAUCUUGCUAGUUUUUUCCAAUUAGAAUCUUCUUUGAGAGUUUUUUCUUUAACCUCUUGCAUUUUUAUUAUUUAUAUCUUCGUCUUCAGCAACUUUGAGACCUCGCAAGAACUUGAUAUGAUUUCCCUUCGUGGUAUUUGCUAUAUUUCGUAACAUUGACAUAACAUAAUUGAACAAUUGGCUGCCAUUUAACCUUGCUCUCAAGCCUCAAGUCUUGCUUAGCUCUCUUCACAUAUUGCUAGAAUUUAUCAUUCAAUCAAAAGUUACGCUUACCCUUUGCCAAUUCAUGAUCUUUGCUAGAAAGUUUUAUCCUUUUCUACAGAAGUUUCGAGUCUAUUAAAAGUUAUGACUGGAAUAAAAUGACUCUAAACUAGUAUGAAAAUCACAUGAUUGAUUACUCAAAUGAGAACAAUUUUAGAUUAUUAUUCGUAGCAUGAAUGCAAUUUUGGACAAUCGUGCGCUUAUGAGUUGAGGCUUACCAAGUCAGGUACCUCUAUGGCUGAUUUCAACCCACCACAUUGCACGCUCUCUUCAUGUGGAUGAUACAAUGCACACAAAAAGAGACUAGAUAAGAUUCCAAAGGCCAUGCAGAGUUUGAACAUAAUAAGUUCCCUUCCUUGAUUAGACUUCUUGAGUUUUUUCUUACUCUUCGUUUGCUAGUGUACAAAAUCCAAAGAUGGAAGACUUUUAGGCCUCCUUCCUUGGAUUAGACUUCUCAAGUUUUUCUCUCCCUCCGUUUACUUAGUGUAGAUCAUGCAACUGAUUAAUUUGUUUUAUGUACAGGUCGGGGAUUAUAAAUACCCACCCAUCCACCCACACACUUACACAUCCACACACAGAUAGCAAAAAUGCACUUCCCUUCAUCAACAUCAUCAUCUUCUCUUAUCACCACCAUUUUCUGCUUGCUCUUGGUUAUAGCCUCCCUGUUCCUUCCAGGAGCGUAUGGCGGUAAGUGAUAUUUAUAUUUUUGGUGCUCCAAGCUUCUAAUAAUGGAGGAACACGUAAAUUGAUGAUCACGAUUCCAUGAAACUGUAGCUGACACAGCAUGACACGAGAACAUAGAGGAAAUUUUAUAAAUCUUGCUGUUUUACUUAUGAUCGCUUGGACAAUUUUGUUUCAUUGAAUAUUGAACUAAAGUUCGGGAUGAAGUUGAAUAAUUCAUGGAUGAAGUUGUGCAUUGCAUUAUAAAGUUCAGAGAUCAUUUACAUCAUUUCUCCUUUAUUAGUUAUUGAUCACGAUUUUUUGCUUGCUCUUGAUUAUAAUCUCCUUUUUCCUUCCGGGAGGUGAGUGAAUUUUACUUUUUGGUGCUUUGGGCUUUCGACAAUGGAGGGGGACAUGGAUUUCCCAAGGCAUGACACGAGAACAUGCAGCAAGUUGUAUGCAUCGUGGUGUUUUUAUUUAAGUUGCUAGGAUAUUUUGCUGCAUGGAUCAUUUAAUAAUUCUGGGCAGAUAUUUUGCUGCAUGAAUCAUUUAAUAAUUUUGGGCAGUGUUUGAUCUUUCAUAAUGAUUUCCAUUGAGUUUCUUCUUGCCUACAGAUUUGGAUCUUCUAGAUUAUGGGGAAAAUUGUCCAACAAGUCCUAAACCUAUUGUUACUCUGCUAAUUGAGUCUUAAAUUUUUUCAUUUUUUGUUAAUUGAAUCCAGUCAAUUUUGGCUGGAAUUUGCCGACAUAGACGUUAAUCGUCUUACGUGGCAUGACCGACACUGACGUUGAUAAUAUUUUAAUGUUUUCAGAUUUUUUAAUUAAUUUUUUUCCUCUUUAUCUUCUUCUUUUCUUUUUCUUUUUUUCGAUAUUGUGGCUGGCAAUGGCCUACUGGGUGAGGAUUGCGACCAGCCUCGUCCAGGUCUGGGUGCAUGGCUUUUCAAGUUUCCUCUUUGCAACAUGAGCUAUCCUCUACUUAAUGGGAGUGUAGUGACGUGCGGAGGAGAGAUCGUUUCAAUCGCCGCUUUUUAACACCCUCGCUUUGGUCGAUGUGGUGAGCCUCCCGUCCUCACGCGAACCGUUUCACCACCUCUUUCUCUUCUUCGUUUGUUUUCUUCGGUUCGAUCGAAAUUUGUUUUAGAAAAGGAUGAGCAUGAUCAUGGGCAGAUAUUGAUUCCCACAAGUCAUUGCUUUCCUUUUAGAAAAUGUUGCCCAUCUCCCACGAGUUUCAACCCUUGUUUCCCUUCCCCCUUUUUUUCAUUGAAACUUCCCUCGUAGAAGACUCCGAAAAUCUCUUUCAUUCUGCCAACCUCACUAAUCGCGGUUUCCCCCUCGACCCCUCCAUUUAAUUGAUUUCUUCAGCCGCGUUUAACCACUCGAUUCUUUCCUAGUUGUUCCUUGGCCGAGAAUCUCCAGAAUAUGCGUUCCUCAUUCACUUCCCAAUUUUACAAAAAUUAGCGCCUCAAAUCUCACCUUCCUAUGCUCGAAAAUCACACUUUCCUUGAUGGGAAUUGGUUGAACUUUCUUGCCUUAUUUCGUUUAUCUACCAAAUUCGGAAUGGCGAGCUGAGGAGCGAAGAGGAAGCCCAAGCCGAAACGCCACGUGCCCACAUCUGGCGACGCUGGCCGUCACCCUCACCCAAAAGGUUAUCGCGAAAAGAGAGACAAAAGAAAAAAAAAAAAAUUAGAAAAAUAUUAAAAUAUUGAAAAAUUUAUCCAUGGUCAACCCUGAUUGAGCUCUGAUCGUGUUAUCCACGUAGGACGGCUGUUAUUCACGCCAGCGAAGGGAAGCGCGGUGAAGGGAAGCUAUUCUCGUGGUGCUGGAGGUUCGAGUGAGUCCUCUUAUUACUCCAUAUCUCGAACCUUUCCAUCACAUUGGCUGCCUCUAGAAGGGUUUAUACAUCCGUGAAUCAUUCAUCAUACAUCUUAUUACACUCGCUUGAAAGCACUUCAAUCUCAAUUUAUCAUAUAUUCUCUAGUCAUAUAAUCAUGUAACAUGUCCAAUUUCACUUGUGCGCCAAACGAUUAAUGAUACUCUAUGUAAUUUCAUCUCCACAAAUGUAGUAUGUGCAUUUCUUAUUUAUAGCAAGAAUUAGUAACAAAACCUCAAUGCUCUGUACGGACACUUAUUUGCAUAGCAUUGUCACAACUUGGUCAAUAAGGUUUUUUACAGUAAAAUAUGUGGGGGGGGGGGGGGAUCAUGGGAAUUUCGUCAUUAUGUCAAUAAUUUCUCUGUGCUAUUCAAAUUAAUUAAAAAAAAACCAAUGUAUAUCCCAUGAAUAAUAUUUGUCUGGAGUAUAUUACUAACAGAGUCUCAAACUAAGGAGGGGGCGUGGUAAUGAGCUAUAAAAAAAAAAAUAUAGUCUCGCAUUUUCCAUAGAAAAAGUAAAAGUAAAAGUAAAAAAAGGAUAGUCUCCCAUCAUCUACUUUCUGAGAAUUAAUUUCGUUUCUUCUAGUGAGACUCAUUCCUUCAUUUCCCUCUAUAUUAAACAUGGCUGCAGAACACCGGGGACAUCCUUGAAAAAAAAACAUGUCGGUUGUUCCGAAUGCCAUCAAGCCAAGAACUUCGGGUUUCUCAUGAUCGUGAUAUAUAUGUAAUAUGUCAUAAUACUCUUGGUAUGUUCUAGAUGUAGUAGAAUUACUUCAGUUCCCUGUAUUCCGCAAAUCAUCUUCCAUACAUUCUCAUGUGUAGACUCGUCUUGACAAUAGUAAAAUAUAAAGAGAUGAGUUUCACAGUUUAAUCUUGGACAACAAAGACAUCUCAUCACUAUCUUGCACAUCAGGAAGUGGGGCAAUUUCAUUGGUCCACUCAAGGAGCCUCUUAUCUCGAUAGCUAUUCGGUGGCAUAAUUGUUCAAAAAGUCUUAAAUAUAUUGUACGAUGGUCAAUUCUCUUAUAAAAUUUUUUAUAUUUUAUUUUUUCAAUUGAUUCUAAAUUUUAUGACAAUUUGCUAAUAUAGACUUUCAUCAAUUUUGCCAGUAAAAUGCUAACAUGGUGGUCAAGUCAAUGUCGCUAUUUUGCGUAGUAUGAUCGACGAUGACGUGGAUGCAUUUUGAAAAAAAAAUUAUAUUUUCUCCUUUUUCUUUUCUUUUAAUUUUUUUCCUUCAUUGUAUUAUUGGUAGGAAAUUUUAUUUUUUUUCCAAAAUUUGUCCACGCUAGUGGCGGUCAUGCCACAUUAGAUGGUGACGCGCCAUUUCAAUGAUUUUAGGUCAAAAUUGACCAAAAGGGCUACUUUGGUCUUGGAUUAAAUUGGCAAAAUUAAAAAAAAAAAUCAAGAUUGUACUAACUACCAUAUGAUAGGUUUACGACUUGUUGGGCAAUUUUCCAUUAUUCAGUCGUGACAAGCGGGCUGCCUAGUGUAAUAAGAAUGGCUUGACUUUCUAAGAGAAAUGUAUACUCAAAAUUAGCAGCACCCACCCCCAAAAAAAAAAAAAAAAAGAAAAAGAAAAAAAGAAAGGAGUGCAUGAACAAGACUGUGAAGCUAUAACAAUGAUAAUAGGUGCAACUGUGAUAAGGAUUACAUUGCAGUCGUUGGGGGGCAAACCAUGAAUUUUAGCUUGAAAAAGACCUAUAGACAAGUCGUACUUGCCCCAUGGUCCAUGAAUGACGGCUACUCCAGAAAUUAAGCACUACCCGAGUCCAUUCUAAGAAUACUUUACUCAACUUUUUGUUUGCUGAGCUUCGGUAAACACAUACUAUAUUUUAUUCUUCAUAAGCAAAUGCACAUGAUAUAUAUGAGGUGAUAGAGAUUUCUAUGAGAAAUUGUACAAAAACAUAUAAAGGCAUUAUUCUAGAUGUUAUAUCAUUUGGAUGUACAAUGCAAAGAAGAUCCAUGUCGAGCAAUACGGGUGCUGACAAAGAAAGGAUUUUUCACUCUGGACUUUUCCACCUAUCAGCUCGCCCUAUUGCCCUCAUCAUUAGUAUGUAUUUCUAUUGAGUCACAGGGAGGGAUGACCAAAAUCUGUGCUAUCCGCUUGGCUUACCAACUAGAGAAGGUUAUUGGCAUUUUAUGGCAAUGCAAAAUCCGAAAUACACAUUUAUUCCCUUAUUCGGUCUCACAACCCCAGCCCUGGCGGGCCCUUAAUAAUAAAAAAAAGGAAAAUAUAAGAUGAUAAGCAUUAGGCUAUCAAUUUCCAACUACAAUUAACAAAAUAGGUUAACAGAUAAAUUGUCAAAAAGUUUACGACUAUAUUGACUAAAUUGAGAAGUUUAGAAUAAAACGAGUAAGUUCAUAACUUUCCUAAGCAAAAGGAAGGAGCGAUCAAGAAUCAAAGUUAGAAAUAUAUUUUGGUUGAGAACCGCAAAGGAUUCGGCACGACGAGCGAGAAUGAAAUCACCGCAUUGUCUCCCUCCCUCUCUCCCUCUCUAGACUUUGAGCAAGUUGUUCGUUUCUAGCUGCACAGUUCAGAAGAUGCUCGGUGGCUUCUGCUGCCGAAUUUCAAACUCUGUCAUCGUCUACAUCGUGCCUGAGAAAUGCGGGGGUCGGUUUGGUCAGGCCGAUUUCGAUUUUCAAGUUCUUGAUGGCUCCUGAAUUUUGUCAACAUUUUGGACACUUUCCAUUAGCGGCUUUUCGUCACCCGCACCCAAAGGCUAGAGAGAGAAAAAAGAGAAUAUAUUUUGGAGAGAGAGUGAAUCAUAAAAUCCUUUAAUUGUUUAGAUGCGUUUGCUUCAUGAAAUAUCGUCAAUUUGAAAUACUUCUAAAUAUACUCACUUCUAUUACUUGUAACAAUGAAUUAAUGAGAGAAACAUUUUAUCAUCAAUAACAAGUUUAGGCAAAGAUUAUUAUUGAUGAGAAAAUAUAUUCCAUUAACUAGUUUUUCUAAUCAAUACAAAUAACUAUAUUUAGAAAAAUGUUUGUGAAUCAUUGAUUUUUCAUGGAAAAAAAUCAAUAAUAACUUUCGGAACUCAACCUCUUUCAUUUUUAUUACUAAUAUCACCGUUAGCUUCGUUAUCUCAUUUUGGCCAUCAAAGACCUUUACUCUUAUAACUAAAAUUAAAGGAUUUUAGUCACUAAUGAGGACAAUUAGAGAAUAUUGCUAGAUUAAUAAGGCAUUAUGUAGUUUAGCAUCCAUAAAAAUUUAUCUAAUAGCCAUCUUCACGAUCGAUUCAAUAAGUUACUCUAGUUUCUAUUUUUCAAAGUAUUAAAAAGCACAAGUAAAAUUCACCAUGUAAUUGCAUAAUCCCAUUUUAAUAUCACGUAAUAAUCAAUUAUGAUUAUAAAAUAUUUUAGUAUAAUAAAUGGAAUGUUGUACAGUAGAUAGUAUUGCUAUAUCAUAAUUAAUGCUAAUAAAAUAUUAUGAAAAAUUUAGCAUUAUUAUAUUCUAAUAAAUUUUUUAUGAAUAAUUAAAAAUAACAAGACGUUGUAUUAUCGACAUUUAGUAACCUAAUAAUUGAUAUUGUCUUCCUAAUGAAUCCCCGUUCCUCUAAAAGUAGGAACCAUCCCCAUAUUUAGCAAAUAAACUUAAUAAAGUCAAACGAUGAGACGUUAAAAAAGUUCAGAACCCGGUUAAUUAAUUUCCUUAUGGAAAAAGAAAAAUACCUUUUCGAUUACUAAGUAAACUUUCAUAAAAAAAAAAAAAAAAAAAGAGCAUCCUCCCAUCUUCCUCUGUUUUUGCUGCGCUUUCGUCUUCCUCGGAGACUCUGUUCCUAGAGAGAGAAAGUAGAGAGAGAGGGAGAUGAGCAGGAACAGCAGCAGCAGGCUGAACUCGGUGUUCUACGCGGAGUCGUACCACCCGAUCCAGGCGGGCAGCAUCGACGGCACCGACGUCCUCCCCCACGACAACGCCGUCUCCCGCGCCCACCUCUGCUCCUCCGCCGGCCUCUGUAAAAUCCCCCCUCCCUCCUCCCUCUUCUCUUUCCCUUUUUCUUUGCUUUACUUCCUGGGUUUCUGACUCCGUUCUCGAUUCCCCCCCAGAUGACCCGUUUGGCGAUCCCAAGGCCGUGGGCGACCCGUACUGCACCCUCUUCGUCGGGCGCCUCUCCCACUUCACCUCCGAGGACACUCUCCGCGAGGUCUGGCCUUUGUCUUGAUUUUUGAGGUUUUCUUUCAUUCCCAUUUCUCUCUUCUCUCUCUUUUUGAGGAAGAGUAGUCUUUUCUUUUCUUUUCUUUUCUUUUUGGGGUGUGGGUGUUUCAGCUGUUGAGCUCGUUUGAGGUGACAAUGGCUGCCUGCCUGCCUGCCUGCCUGCCUGCUUGCCUGCUUGGGAGAUAAAAUGAUUCGACUUGGCGUCGUUCUCGUGAUUUAUGAGGGGAGUGUUGGGAGAUGGAACUUUGUUUUGUUUUUGAGGAUGGGAAUGGAAAUGCUUGCCGAAAUAUGGCAGUUUUGGUGUUUAAAAAACGUAUUUUUGGCGGUUCCGACUGUUAGAUGGAGCAUUUUGCCUUCAGUUACCGCUUUUUCUAUCUGUCUUUCAAUUGAUUUAGGCUUUUUUGACCUACAGUAUGAGUUCCCUUGUGCAGGCUAUGAGCAAGUAUGGUCAUGUGAAAAACUUGCGCUUGGUCAGGCACAUUGGUAACCAUCUUAUUAGCUCUUGUAAUUUCUAUGAUUUUCAGUUCGUCGAGAGAUCAUGAUAAGCGCUUCGGGUUGAUAGUAAUUCAAACUUCACUUAAUAUGAAACAAAUCUUGGUAGCUUGCACUUUAUUCACUGUUUUGACAGAGCAGCAAUGCUCGAUCUCUAACUUAUUAUAUGCUUAGUUUUUUGAUACCCUAAUUUUUGUGGAGAUGUUUUAGCGGCAGUAGUGUAUAUAACUUUUUAACAUUACCGAUAGCCAAUUUGAAGCUAGUAAGGAUCGCUGGUUUUAUCAUAUUCUUUAUCCUGUGCAUAUGAGCCGAUUGCAUUUUGGAUGGCAUAGUUGUUUGUGCCUCCUCUUAAAUUCAAGGUAUUGGCUCUACAAAUUUCUUACUCUGUCGCUGCCUGUUUGCAGUGACUGGUGCCUCAAGACGUUAUGCUUUCGUUGAAUAUGAAACUGAAAGAGAAAUGAGACGUGCGUAUAAGGUCUUUUACUCUGUUCUAGGCAUGACAUUGUGCCUGAUACUGGGUAGAAGCCUAAUGUUAAUUCUUCUGAAUUGGUCCUCAUGUCUUUGAGAUAGUCCAUGACAUGCUGCUGAUGAGGCUUUUAUUGUUGACUCAUUGUUGACGCUUUGCCAUGCACCUUCUUAGGAGCUUUUGGGUGCCUUUCUCAUCAUAUCUAAUAGCUAGAUACAUUUUGUAAGUCAACCUAGAGAUCUAACUAUGAGUGCAUUUGGAUUCAGAACGAAGGAGAUUGGAAGACAUGCAAAAUUAAGAUAAAAAUCUGUAUAGAGAACUCAUUUGAGAGCUUCUUCAUGUGGUUGCUGCUUUUAGUCACCAUUUUAUUUAGGUUGAAGAUUAAUGUCAAUAGGAUGUGAACUUGAUGUAUGUUGGUUAUGAAGCACUGAUGCCAUGUUUUGUUGAAAAACUACUGCAAUGUUCUUAGUGAAAAAAGACUGGAAGAAAUGUGUAACCAAUAAAAAAUUAAGAAAAGCUACUAGAAAAUCACACAUUUUCACCAACCGAAAUUUGAAGGAGUAGUUGUGAUCCUUUUGGACACUUCAAAAAUCCUAGUAUUCUGCUGCAAAGAUGAAGCUGGGCCACAUUUGAUGAUGCUAACUCUUUCUAUAUUGUCAUUAUAUGAUCAGUCGCCCAAUCCCAUUGGAUGACUUGAAGAGGCUGGGCAUUCCACCUCCUCCAGAGGGACGUUACAUGUCUUGCUUUGAGGUAUUGUCUCUGUUGUAUCUAAAUGCUGCAUAUAGCUCCAUCGAAAUGCAUGUUUUAGCCCUCCUGAGUUAGUUAUGAAAUUUCAUUUACCAUUAACUUCUAUACCAGAGUGUCGUGAUAUUUCUUAGGUUAAGUCUGACUAUAAUUCAAAACUAAGACCUGGACCAGCUAAAUGAACGAUGGCGUCGAUGGAGGUACUAGCCCUCACUAAUUGAGCUCACUUCCUUAUUCAUUCCAUCAUCCAAUAUCCACUGCUCAAAUGUUUGAUAUUCUUGUUGUACAAGAAGGGAUUUUCCAUGAAAAGGGUGCUCGCCUUUUUACUCAUGAAAAUAUAAUUCCACUGUUGAGAAUUCCUUUUCACCUUAUUUCCAUAAGUAAGCUUGGCCUAAUCAGCCUUUUUAUAGAUCUGCCUAGAUCCUUGUUCCCCUCCCCUUCUAAGACACUCUUCUGGCAUUUGUGGAAACCAUCACCCUUGAGGACUUAAUUUGUGGGCAUGGAUGAGCAGGAAGGUUAAGUGGCAUUCCCGAGGUUGGUGUAGAUUUGGUGGGAGGUUACCCAGCGGGAAUUUUUCAGUUUUGAAGUUAAUCCACUUUUUCGUGGCUUUAUUUGGGAUAAAGGCAUGUGGAAACCUUUAACUCUUAGCUUUACUUUCUUCUAAACUAAGGUUUUACUGAAAUUCUUUACUUGAACGUACUAUAAGAAAUGGAACUAGUAAUACUUUUCCUUGGUAUAGGUUUCCAGGCUAUUGUUUGCCUUUUGCCCCUCAACAGGCAUAAUGUUUCCAACUCCAUUAGUGGGAGGAAGCUGUAAUUAGCUUUCUGUACUUCAUUGCACCUUACUGGAUGAAUUUGGGUUUGUUAAGUCCUGUGGAGCGACUGGCCUUGGAGACUAAGUUUAUGCCCGUUUGGUGAUUGGGUUGCAUAAGAUUUCGAACUCCAUUAGGGGAGGAGGCUAUAAUUAGCUUUAUGUAUUUCAUUGCACCUUGAUGGAUGUAUUUGGGUCUGUUAAGUUCCGCGGAGUGACUGGCCUUGGAGACAAAGUUUACGCACUUUUGGUGAAUGGGCUUGACCUUCUUUUCCCCUUUUGACUUUCCUGUGAUAAUUCCAUGGCAAUUUGCAGUGCCUCAUGUUGAGUUCAUUCUCCUUUAGGAAAUUUGCAAGAAGAGUAUCUGAGCAGUAGCCUUUUUGAGUUUUUCAUGAGUCGUGACAUUUAUUAUGAAGCUUGUAUAGCAGAAUGUCAUGAUCUUGUAUCUUUUUCAGGUUCCAUCACCCCCUAGAAGAGGACAGGGUUUGUUAGAUAAGGAAGAAGGAUCUCACAGAAGCUCUAGCAACAGAGAAGAGCAUACUCACAGAGGAAACUCCGAGGACAGGGAAGAUCGCGUGCAUGGGAGGAGCCCUGGUGAUACAUUAGAUCACUCUUACGACAAAAGUUCCCAAGGAAGAACAUCGCCAUGACAAGAGGCGCCAUCAGGAUCAGGAGCUUUCCAAUAGGAAGAGCUCGCUGGAAUUAGAAGAGAAGCACCAUUACAGAAGAUCUGUGGAGAAGGAAGAAACUGUAAGAAGCUCUUUGGAUGGGGAAGAGCGCUCUCGCAAACGGAGCUCCACCGAUGAUGAUGGACGUAUCAAGAAAAGGAGCAGAAGAAGUUCAUCGGAGAGAGAGGAUCAUAAAGAGAGAGACUCUUCUGAUAGAGAGGAGCGCCAUCACAAAAGCAGGUCUCGAGAUGAGAAAGAACGCUCUUAUAAGCGUCACAAACAUCGUGAGAGAUCCCAUCAGCAUGAGGGGAAAAGAUCAAUCAGUCGAGAAUAUCCAUCUGAUUAUUGAUUUUUGGGCAGUUUGCCUUUGGUUUGAAUCCAGAGAAACAUGCACGUAGGGAUUGCUUUUUGCUUGCCUUCUACAGAGUGUAAUAAGGAGAAUUAUGUGCAUAGAGAUUUUAAGUAAUUUUACCUGACAUGCUGAGGCGUCCUCGACAUUACUACAACGAAGCCACAGAGAGUGACCAGCGGGACUUUUGCAGAGGAUGGUUUGCCGGUAUUGAGGAACUAGAGUUGUCAGACCCUCGGUUAUUGAUUGCAAGCAAGAUAGUCGUCCUGUUUCUGUGAUUGAGUUUAACCAGAGGUGUGAAUACGGAAGGCAUACUGAGGGAGAAGUCGUCUUGUUUCUGUGACUGAGUUUAACCAGAGCCGUGAAUACGAAAGGCAAACUGAGGGAGACUUCGCCAUCCGGAACACCUAAUUCCUUCCGGAGGUAGUCCAUCUGCGUCACAACUUUUAGAUGUGCCAACAAUUGUCAUUGAAAGUAACUCUUCAAUUGGAUAUAUGACGGAUUUGUUCAUGCACUGAACUUCUGUUCAUGCUCAGAUAUAUGACGGGUUGGGAGGCAUUAAAAUCGGAGCAGGGGAAAAGUAGUAAGAGGUUCAAACCCAAAGAUAAAAUGGAGGAGACUUCAUAUCUGUGAAACAAACCAACAUGAAGUCACCAGAUAUCCUGACAUCCAACUCAAUUGCCCAGGCUUUGAUGCACAAGAAUCGGCCUCUCAACAUGUGGGAGUCUUGGUAACUCUGGUUGGAAUUUCAAAGUCUUCCUUCGAAAAUCCGAAGAUGGAAUACUUCCAAGUCUCAGUAACCCUCGGUUGGAAUAUCAAAGUCUUCCUUCAAAAAUCCAAAGAUGAAAGACUUCCAAGUCUCGGUAACCCUCGGUUGGAAUAUCAAAGUCUUCCUUCAAAAAUCCAAAGAUGAAAGACUUCGAAGUCUCCUUCCUUGAGUAGACUUCUACAGUUUUUUUCUUGUCCUUCCUUGACUCAAUGUAGAACAUCCAAAGAUAAAGACUUUCUUGUAAUGAUUGCUAGGUCCUCUGUAGAUAGCUUAGAACUCACACUGAGAAACACUUCGAUUACGAUAGUGAUGUAAAUCUUGUAAACUCUACACCUUGACAUAUCUAAGAUUAUAUGUGCUCCACAUAGAUUCUUUAAAUCGAUUAAGAUUUUUUCAAUGAUCAUAUCAACGUUCUUUUUCAGCGGGAGUUUAACUUGAAAUAUAAUAACUUUUGCAAUAUCAAGAUUGAUAUAAUUUAUGAAUAUUUUGCUAAACUUAAAAACAAAAUAGAGUUUUCUCAACACCAUGAAGCCUUGCUCUCAAGCCUCAUGUUUUGUGGUCUUCACAUACAGCUAGAGUUUGUCAUUGAUUCGCAAUUUAUGCUAUACUCUUUACUAGCCAACAAGCUGAGCUUGUCCAUUCAUGAUCUUUCUAACAUAUGUAGACUGAUCAUGUUAGGAACUUUUAUUAUUUUUAAGUCUCUCUCUCUCUCUCUCUCUCUCUCUCUCUCUCAUCCAAGCUUUGCCACCAUGGAUCUUGUGACCAUAAUCACUUGCCAUCCAAACUUAGGAACUUUUAUUCUUAUUUGUAGAAGUUUUGAGUCCACUAAAAGUCGAGGACAGGAAUAAAAUGACUCCAAACCACAUGAUUGACAUCUCAAAUGAGGACCAUUUUAGACUACAAUUUGUAGUGUGAGUGUGCUUUUGGACAAUCCCGCGCUUAUGAAUUAGAGGUUUAUCGAGGUUAGGUACCUUCACGGCUGUUUUCAACCCACCACAUUACACGCUCUCUUCAUGGAUGAUAUGAUGCAUGCAAAGAGACCGAAUAAGAACCGAAAAGGUAUAUGGACUUUGAAACUAACAAGUCCCCUUCCUUGAUUAGAUUUCUUGAGUUUUUUUCUUACCCUUCGUUUACUCAAUGCACAAAAAAUCCAAAGAUAGAGGACUUUCAAGUCUCCUUCCUUGAGUAGACUUCUCCAGUUUUUCUUGCCCUUGAAUUACUCAAUGCGGAACAUUCAAAGGUAUAGGCAAUUCAUGAUCUUGCUAGUUUUUUUCCAAUGAGAAUCUUCUCUGAGAGUUGUUUCUUUAACCUCUUGCAAUUUUAUUAUUGAUAUCUUCAUCUUCAGCAACUUUGAGACCUCGCAAGAACUUGAUCUGAUUUCUCUUUGUGAUAUUUGCUAUAUUUAAUAAUGUUGACAUAAACAUAACUAAACAAUUGGCUGCCAUUUAACCUCACUCUCAAGCCUCAAAUCUUGCUCAGCCCUCUUCACAUAUUGCUAGAAUUUGUCAUUCACUCAAAAGUUACGCUUACUCUUUGUCAAUUCAUGAUCUUCUAGAUAGUUUUAUCCUUAUCUGCAGAAGUUUUGAGUCUGAUAAAAGUUAUGAUUGGAAUAAUAUGACUCAAAACUAGUAUCAAAACCACAUGAUUGACGACUAAAAUGAGAACCAUUUUAGACUAUUAUUUGUAGCGUGAGUGCGAUUUUGGACAAUCGUGCGCUCAUGAGCUGAGGCUUAACGAGGUCAGCAACUUCCAUGGCCGUUUUCAACCCACCACAUUGCACGCUCUCUUCAUGUGGAUGAUACGAUGCAUACGAAAAGAGACUGAAUAAGAAUCGAAAAGGCAUGUGGAGUUUGAAACUAACAAGUCCCCUUCCUUGAUUAGACUUCUUGGAGAUUUUUCUAACUCUUCGUUUACUCAAUGUAGAAAAUCCAAAUAUGGAAGACUUUCAUGUCUCCUUCCUUGGACUAUACUUCUCAAGUUUUUGUUUGUUUGUUUUUUUCUCCCUCCAUUUACUCAGUGUAGAUCAUGCAACUGAUUAACAGGUCGGGGAUCACCCACCCACCCACACACUUACACAUCCGCACACACAAAUAGCAAAAAUGCACUUCCCUUCAUCAACAUCAUCAUCUUCUCUUAUCACCGCCAUUUUCUGCUUGCUGUUGGUUAUAGCCUCCCUGUUCCUUCCAGGAUCCUAUGGCCGUAAGUGAUAUUUAUAUAUUUGGUGCUUCAAGCUUCUAAUAAUGGAGGAGGACAUAAAUUGAGCAUCAUGAUUCCGUGAAACUGUAGUUGACACAGCAAGACACGAGAACAUAGAGGAAAUUUUAUACAUCUUGCUGUUUUUCUUAUCAUCGCUUGGACAAUUUUGUUUCAUUAAAUAUUGAACUAAAGUUUAGGGAUGAAGUUGAAUAAUUCAUGGAUGGCAUUGUACAUUAAAUUAUAAAGUUCAGAGAUCAUCUAUGUCAUUUAUCUUUUAUUAGUUAUUGAUCACGAUUCUUUGCUUGCUCUUGAUUAUAAUCUUCUUGUUCCCUCCAGGUGCCUUGGCCAUUUCAACUAAAUUCAAGCCGCUAGGAUGUAAGUGAUUUUUAUUUUUGGUGCUUUGGGCUUUCGAUAAUGGAGGGGGACAUGGAUUUCCCAAGGCAUGACACGAGAACAUACAUAAAGUUCUAUACAUUGUGGUGCUUUUCUUAAAGUUGCUCAGACAUUUUGCUGCAUGAAUCAUUUAAUAAUUUUGGGCAGUGUUUGAUCUUUCAUAACGAUUUCCAUUGAGUUUCUUCUUGCCUACAUAUUUAGAUCUUGUAGAUUGUGAGGGAAAAUUGUCCAACAAGUCCUAAACCUACUGUACCUAUGCCAAUUAAGUCUUAAACUUGUCCAUUUUUUUGUCUAUUGAAUCUAGUCAAUUUUGGCUAGAAUUUGCCGACAUAGAUGAUAAUCGUCCCACGUGACAUGACCGGCAUUAACGUUAAUAAUAUUUUAAUGUUUUUCAGAUUUUUUAAUUAAUUUUAUUAAUAAUAUUGAAACAAGGAUGAGCAUGAUCAUGGGCAGAUAUGAUUCCCACAAGUCAUUGCUUUCCUUUGAGAAAAGUUUGCCCAUCUCCCACGAGUUUCAACCCUUGUUUCCCUCCCCAAUUUUUAAUUGAAACUUCCCUCGUCCAAGACUCCGAAAAUCUCUUUUUAUUCUGCCAACCUNNNNNNNNNNNNNNNNNNNNNNNNNNNNNNNNNNNNNNNNNNNNNNNNNNNNNNNNNNNNNNNNNNNNNNNNNNNNNNNNNNNNNNNNNNNNNNNNNNNNCCAUUGAUUCGAUUUCUUCAGGGCGGUUGAACCACUUAAUUCUCUACUUCCAUUCUUGUUCCUUGGCCGAGAAUCUCCAGAAUAUGCGUCCCUUGUUCACUUCCCAAUUUCGCAAAAAAUUAGCGCCUCAAAUCUCACCUUCCUUUGCUCGAUGGGAAUUGGUUGAACUUUCUUGCCCUUUGUUCAUGUUGCGAAGAGGAAGCUGAAGCCUAAAAGCCACUUGCCCAGAUCUGGGCAAAGGCUGGCCGUGACCCUCACCUUAUCGCGGAAAGAGAAAAUAGGAAAAGAGGAAAAAUAAAAUAAUUCAAAAAAAAUUCAAAAAAUAUUAAAAUAUUUUAAAAAUUGUUCACAGGUGCUGAUCGAGUCACGUAAAAUGGAUGAUGUCCAAGUCAGCAAAUUCCGACCAUAAUUAGCAGAAUGUGAAAAUGUUUAAAAUUCAAUUGGAAAAAUUGAAAGGUUUAUGAUUAAAUUGGCAAUAGUUCAAUAAGUUCAUAACUUUUUUGACAAUUUUUUCCUUGAUCAUGAGUCCUCCUUUCACUCCAUAUCUCGGCCCUUUUCCCCACAUAGUAUAUGAUAUUUCAUAACAAUUUUCAUUGUAUUGUCUUGCACAUGCAGCUAUCCCUGCGGUGGGAAGCCAUCCUCGUCCUGCCGGAGUGUAUGCUACACAGAAUCGUAAUCGUGCAGCGUAUGCUAAUCGUAACAGACCGUAUCUUAAUCAUACUUUGUGUGAGUCUUCAUUUUACUCCAUAUCUUGAACCUUUCUAUCAUGUUGUCUGCCUCUAGAAUGGUUUAUACAUGUGUGAAUCAUUCAUCAUAUAUUGUAUUAUGCUCGCUCGAAAGCACUACAAUCUUAAUUCAUUAGAUAUUCUCCGGUCAUAUAAUCAUCUAACAUGUUCGAUUUCACUUGUGAGUCAAAUGAUUAUUGACACUCCAUGAAAUUUCAUCUUCGCGAACAUAAUAUGUGCAUAUGCCUAAUUUCUUAUUUAUAGCAAGAUUUAGUAACAAAAUCUCGGUGCUCUGUACUGACACUAUUCAUGUACUUAUUUGCAUAGUAUGGUCACAACUUGGUCAAUAAGGUUUUCUAUAGUUGGGGGGAUCAUGGUAACUUCAUCAUUAUGCCAAUAAUUUCUCUGUACUAUUCAAAUUAAUUACAAAAAAAACCAAUGUAUAUCCCAUGAAUAAUAUUUGUCUGGAGUAUAUUACUAACAGAGUCUCAAAGUGAGGAGGGGCUGUGGCAAUGAGCUAUAAAAAAAAAAAAAAAAAUAGUCUCGCAUUCUCAAUAGAAAAAGAAAAAGUAAAAAAAGGACAGUCUCGCAUCAUCUACUUUCCGAGAAUUAAUUUCGUUUCUUCUAGUGAGACUCAUUCCUUCUUUUCCCUCUAUAUUAAACAUGGCUGCAGACCACCGGGGACCUCCUUGAAAAGAAAACAUGUUGGUUGUUCCAGAUGCCAUCAAGCCAAGAACUUCGUGUUUCUCAUGAUCGUUAUAUAUAUGUAAUAUGUCAUAAUACUCUUGGUAUGUUCAAGAUGUAGUAGAAUUACUUCAAUUCCCUAUAUUCCGCAAAUCAUAUUCCAUACAUUCUCAUCUGUAGACUUGUCUUGACAAUAGUAAAAUAAAAAGAGAUAAAUUUCACAGUUUAAUCUUGAAUAAUGUUCACCCGAGUAGAGACAACUCAACACUGUCUUGCACAUUAGGAAGUGGGGCAAUUUCAUUGGUCCACUCAAGGAGCCUCCUAUCUCGAUACCUAUCUGGUGGCAUAAUUGUUCAAAAUUUUUUAAAUAUAUUGUAUGAUGAUCAAUUCAUUUAUACUUUUUGUUGUCAAUUAAGUUCUAAACUUUAUGACAAUUUGCCUAUAUAGACUUCUGUCAAUUUUGCCCAUAAAAUGCUAACAUGGUGGUCAAGUCAAAGUCGCUAUUUUUCGUAGUACGAUUGACGAUGACAUGGAUGAUUUCUGAAAGAAUUUAUAUUUUUUCCUUUUUCUUUUCUUUUAAUAUUUUUCCUUUGUUGUAUUAUUAGGAGGAAAAACAAUACAUUUUUUCUAAAAUUCAUCCACAUCAGUACCGUUUGUUUCACAUAAAACGGCGAUGCUAACUGAACUGCCACUUCAAUGAUUUUUGAUCAAAAUUGACCAAAAAUGCUACUUUGAUUUUGGAUUAAAUUGACAAAUUUAAAAAAAUUCAAGAUUAUACUGGCCACCAUAUGAUAGGUUUACGACUUGGGCAUUUUUCCGUUAUUUAGCUAUGACAAGCGGGCUACCUAGUGCAAUGAGAAUGGCCUGACACUCUAAGAGAUCCAUAUACUCAAAAUCAGCACCCCCUCCAAAAAAAAAAAAAAAAGAGGGUGCAUGAACAAGGCUUCGAAGCUAAAACAAUGCUAAUAGGUGCAACUGUGAUAUGGGUUACAUUGCAGUUUUUGGGGGCAAACCAUGAAUUUUAGCUCGAAAAAGAUCUAUGGACAAGUCGUCCUUGCCCCAUGGUCCAUGAAUGACGGCUAUUCUAGAAAUUAAGCACCACCUGAGUCCAUUCCAAGAAUUUAGGGAUACUUUACUCAUCUUUUUGUAUGCUGAGCUUCGGUAAAUGCCUACUAUAUUUUGUCCUUGAUAAGCAAAUGUACAUAAUAUAUAUGAGGUGAAAGACAAUUCUAUGAGAAAUUAUACACACACACACACACACACACACACACACACACACACACACACACACACACACACAUAUAUAUAUAUAUAUAUAUAUAUAAAUGCAAUAGUCUAGAUGUAAUAUCAUUUGGAUGUACAAUGCCAAGAAGAGAAUUCCUAUCGAGUAAUAUAGGUGUUGACAAAGAAAGGAUUUUUUGCUCUGGACUUUUCCACCUAUCAGCUCGUCCUAUUGGCCUCAUCAUUAGCACGUAUAUCUCUUGGGUCACAGGGAGGGAUGACCUAAAUCUGUGCUAUCCGCUUGGCUUACCAACUAGAGAAGGUGAUCGGCAUUUUAUGGCAAUACAAAAUCCGAAGCACAUUUAUUUCCUUAUUCGGUCUCGCAACCCCAGCCCUGGCGGUCCCUUAAUAAUAAAAAAAGAAUAAAAUAAAAUAAUUAAUAAAAAAUUAGAAAAAAAAAAUCAGUAUCGGUCGUGCCAUAUAGGAUGAUAAAUAUUCAGGUUGGCAAAAUAGGUUACACUGAAGAAUUAUCAAAAUGUUUACGAUUAUAUUGACCAAAUUGAGAAGUUAAAAAUUAAAUGAGUAAGUUCAUAGCUUAGAUAGUAAAAGGAAGGAGAGAUCAAGAAUCAAAGUCAGAAAUAUAUUUAGGUUGAGACCCGGGAAGGAUUCGGACCAAGGAGCAAGAAUGAAAUCACCGCCUUGUCUUUCCCUCCCUCCCUCUUUAGACUUUGAGCAAGUUGUUGGUUUUUAGUUGCAGAGUUCAGGAGAUGCUCGGUUGCUCCUGCUGCCGAAUUUCGAACUCUGUCCUUGUCCAGUCAAGCCUGAGAAAUGCAAGGGUCGGUUUGGUCAGGCCGAUUUCGAUUUUCUAGUUCUUGAUGGCUCCUGAAUUUUGUCAACAUUUUGGACACUUUCCGUUAGCGGCUUUUCGUCACCCGCACCCAAAGGCUAGAGAGAGAAAAAAGAGAAUAUAUUUUGGAGAGAGAGAGUGAUGAAAGGAAAAACCCUCAUUGAAAAAAUACAUAAAAUCUUUUAAUUGUUUAGAUGCAUUGGCUUCAUGAAAUAUCGCCAAUUUGAAAUACUUCUAAAUAUACUCACUUCUAUUACUUGUAACAAUGAAUUAAUGAUAGAAACAUUUUAUCAUCAAUAACAUGUUUAGGCAAAGAUUAUUAUUGAUGAGAAAAUAUAUUCCAUUAACUAGUUUUUUUAAUCAAUACAAAUAACUAUAUUUAGAAAAAUGUUUGUGAAUCAUUGAUUUUUCAUGGAAAAAAAUCAAUAAUAACUUUUGAAACUCAACCUCUUUCAUUUUUACUACUAAAAUCGCUGUUAGCUUCGUUAUCACAUUUUGGCCAUCAAAGACCUUUACUCUUAUAACUAAUAUUAAAGGAUUUUAGUCACAAAUGAGGACAACUACAGAAUAUUGCUAGAUUAUUAAGGCAUCAUGUAGUUUAGCAUCCAUAAAAAUUUAUCAAAUAGCCAUCUUCACAAUUGAUUCAAUAAGUUACUCUGGUUUCUAUUUUUCAAUGUACUAAAAAGCAAGUAAAAUUCACCAUGUAAUUGCAAAAUACUAUUUUAAUAUCACGUAAUAAUCAAUUAUAAUUAGAAAAUAUUUCAGUAUGAUAAAUGGAAUAUUGUACAAUAUAUAGUAUUGCUAUAUCAUAAUUAAUGCUAAUAAAAUAUUAUAAAAUAUUUAGCAUUGUUAUAUUCUAAUGAAAAUUUUAUGAAUAAUUAAAAAUAAAUAGACGUUGUAUUAUCGACAUUUAGUAACCUAAUAAUUGAUAUCAUAUUAUAUGAAUAGAAGGACAAAAAUGAAAUGGACAUUGCAUAGGUCUUCCUAGGGGGUGUGCAUGAUUCGGGCGGGCAGUCCCCAACCUAGAACUCGGAACCGCCCACUAAGAACUGAUUCCGAAAAAUUGGAAUCGGGAUCCACCCGUUUGUUGCAUGGAACCGGACCGCCGGUUCGGUCCGAUUCCUGGGUAGAUCCAUAGAAUCGAUCUUAACGUGAAACAAUUUUGGUUUUCAACGUAGAACGACUACGUGAUAUCAAAGCAAAUCAAAAAAAAAAAAAAAACCAAAUUUAAGUACGUGGAGAUGCGGACGGCAGGAGAAGUAAACGCAACGAAUUUACAAAUACGGUCCAGAUGGUUCCCAGGUAUUUUGCACACCCCUAGAAAGGAGUGAGAUGAGAUCUAGGGUUUCUUUUAUUAAUUUUUUUUAAUAUUAAAAAGGUUUCGGUCCAAUCCGGAUGGGCGGGCGAGCAAAUCCGCCCAUGGAAUCGGGAUUUGGACCGAUACCCACUGGUUCCCAUAAAUUGGAACUGGGAACCGUACUGGUUCCAGGCGGUUCCGAUCGAUCCAGGCGGUUCCGAUCGAUUCAGGCGGUUCCCAGAUAUUUUGCACACCCCUAGGUCUUCCUAAUGAAUCGCCGUUCCUUUAAAAGUAGAAACAAGCAUCCCCAUAUUUAGUAAAUAAACUUAAUAAAGUCAAACGAUGAGACGUUAAUAAAGUUAAGAACCCGGUUAAUUAAUUUCCUUAUGGAAAAAGAAAAAUACCUUUUGGAUACUCAUUUAGAAAAUUAAGUUGCAAAGUUUUUCGCGUUCAUUAAUUAAUUUGGCCCGAUGUAAAAAUAAGUUUUCUCUUAUCACAAGUCGCUCUACAAAAUUAACUCCAUAAACAUGUCAAAAUGAUUUUUAACUUUUUAUUCAGAUAAAUACAUUAAAAAUCUUAAAAUUUAUCACCAAUAUGCAAAUUAGCCCUAAACUUUAAAAAAUUAUAAUUAAAUCCUAAAACUUGUCAUGAAAGUGUAAUCAAAUUUUAAAAUUUUCAAAAAGUACUAUUAAUGGAAGAAUAUGAUUUGAUCAAAUUUUACGACUUGACUACACUUUUUAAAAGUUUUAGGAUCUUCUUAUACUUUUGUAACAAAUUUUAAAAGUUAAUUAUACUUUUUGAAAAUUUUAAAAUUAAAAGUUCCAGGAUUUCGUUAUCCUUUUUUUUUUUUUCCAAUACAGAAAAUUAAGAUUUAGCACAUCAUGGAAUUAAAUUUCUAGUGUUGUUUGUGAACUUCUUCUUCAUUAAGAGUAAUGGUGCGUUUGUUUGCGUUUCUGUUUAAAAAUUGUUCCAGGGAACCGAAAUAGAAAAAAGUGUUUCUGUUCCGGGGAACAAUUUUUGAACAAAACAACGCCUUUGAUAAACUUGUUCCGGGCCACCGCCAGGCGACGCUGACUCGCCCAGAUCCGGCGAGGCCGAGGCUCGCCGGCCGCUGGGCGAGCUCGGCCUCGCCGGGGGCCGGCGAGCCUCGCCGUGGCUGGGCGAGGCCGCCGGCCAAAAGAAAAAAGAACAAGAAAAUAAGAGAAAAAAGAAAAAAAAAAUAAGUGUUUCUCAAAAGUGUUUCAGAAACAAGAAACAUAAAAUUUGUGUUUUUUGUUUCUGUUUCUUUUUUGUUCUGGGAACAAAAGAACAAAAAAGGAACAGAAACGCGUUUUGUUCCCAGGAAAAAAAACAGAAAAAUUGUUUAAAAACAAAAAAAAGAAAUAUAAACAAACACACCCAAAGCAUCCUCCCACCUUCCAAACACACCCAAAGCAUCCUCCCACCUUCCUCUGUUUCGCUGCGCUUUCGUCUUCCUCGGAGACUCUGUUCCUAGAGAGAGAAAGUAGAGAGAGAGAGAGAGAGGGAGGGAGGGAGGGAGAUGAGCAGGAACAGCAGCAGGCUGAACUCAGUGUUCUACGCGGAGUCGUACCACCCGAUCCAGGCGGGCAGCAUCGACGGCACCGACGUCCUCCCCCACGACAACGCCGUCUACCGCGCCCACCUCUGCUCCUCCGCCGGCCUCUGUAAAAUCCCCCUCCCUCUUCUCUUUCCCGUUUUCUUUGCUUAUUUCCUGGGUUUCUGACUCCAUUUCCGAUUCGCCCUUUUCCUCGCGAUUCCUCCCCAGAUGACCCGUUUGGCGAUCCCAAGGUCGUGGGCGACCCCUACUGCACCCUCUUCGUGGGGCGCCUCUCCCACUUCACCUCCGAGGACACUCUCCGCAAGGUCUGGCCUUUGUCUUGAUUCUGAGGUUUUCUUUCAUUCCCAUUUCUCUCUUCUCUCUCCUUUUGAGGAAGAGUAGUUCCUUUUUUUUUUUUUUCUUUUUUCUUUUUUGGGGUGUGGGUGUUUCAGCUGUUGAGCUCGUUUGAGGUGACAAUGGCUGCCUGCCUGCCUGCCUGCUUGGGAGAUAAAUAAAUGAUUCGACUUGGCGUCGUUCUCGUGAUUUAUGAGGGGAGUGUUGGGAGAUGGAACUUUGUUUUGUUUUCAAGGAUGGGAAUGGAAAUGCUUGCCGAAAUAUGGCAGUUUUGGUGUUAAAAAAACGUAUUUUUGUCGGUUCCGACUGCUAAAUUGAGCAUUUUACCUUGAAUUACCACUUUUUCUAUCCGUCUUUCAAUUGAUUUAGGCUUUAUUGACCUACAAUAUGGGUUCCCUUGUGCAGGCUAUGAGCAAGUAUGGUCAUGUGAAAAACUUGCGCUUGGUCAGGCACAUUGGUAACCAUCUUAUUAGCUCUUGUAAUUUCUAUGAUUUUCAGUUUGCGGAGAGAUCAUGAUAAGUGCUUUGGUUGAUAUAAUUCAAACUUCACUUAAUAUGAAACAAUCUGUAGCUUGCACUUUAUUCACUGUUUUGACAGAGGAGCAAUGCUUGAUCNNNNNNNNNNNNNNNNNNNNNNNNNNNNNNNNNNNNNNNNNNNNNNNNNNNNNNNNNNNNNNNNNNNNNNNNNNNNNNNNNNNNNNNNNNNNNNNNNNNNNNNNNNNNNNNNNNNNNNNNNNNNNNNNNNNNNNNNNNNNNNNNNNNNNNNNNNNNNNNNNNNNNNNNNNNNNNNNNNNNNNNNNNNNNNNNNNNNNNNNNNNNNNNNNNNNNNNNNNNNNNNNNNNNNNNNNNNNNNNNNNNNNNNNNNNNNNNNNNNNNNNNNNNNNNNNNNNNNNNNNNNNNNNNNNNNNNNNNNNNNNNNNNNNNNNNNNNNNNNNNNNNNNNNNNNNNNNNNNNNNNNNNNNNNNNNNNNNNNNNNNNNNNNNNNNNNNNNNNNNNNNNNNNNNNNNNNNNNNNNNNNNNGUCUUUGAGAUAGUCCAUGACAUGCUGCUGAUGAGGCUUUUAUUGUUGACUCAUUGUUGACGCUUUGCCAUGCAGCUUCUUUAAGAGCUUUUUAGGUGCCUUUCUCAUCAUAUCUAAUAGCUAGAUACAUUGCGUAAGUCAACCUAGAGAUCUAACUAUGAGUGCCUUUGGAUUCAGAACGAAGGAGAUUGGAAGACAUGCAAAAUUAAGAUAAAAAUCUGUAUAGAGAACUCGUUUGAGAGCUUCUUCAUGUGGUUGCUGCUUAUAGUCACCAUUUUAUUUAGGUUGAAAAUUAAUGUGAAUAGGAUAUGAACUUGAUGUAUAUUGGGUAUGAGACACUGAUGCCAUGUUUUGUUGAAAACCUACUGCAAUGUUCUUAGUGAAAAACGACUGGAAGAAAUGUGUAACCAAUAAAAAAUAAAGAAAAGCUACUAGAAAAUCACAGAUUUUCACCAAUAUAUUUGGUCUUAAUACUGAAACUUGUGAUUUUAUAAUUUUUCCCUCAUCUAGAUGCAUAGAUUAUUGAGCCACUAGGAUACAUGCUCACAUCGGACACACUUAUCAGAGUCUGAUUAAUGUAAACAGACUUUUGUUGAGUUGUUGCUAGAAAGCUGAAUUUUAGAGCAUGGAAGGAGCAUAAAGCAUGAAUAUUUGUGCUUGUUUAGGUCAACCUAAAAGCUUAAAAAUAGUGGAAAUUUUUCUGCACAAAGAUUGCAUAUGAAAGCUUGCAGAAUGAGAGAUUACUUUAGUUGAACUGAGGUAAUUCAGAACUUGUUUUGUGGGUGCCACUUGUAGUCAACUUUCGUCAUAAAGGUGCCUAGAAUCUGAAAUUAUGUAAUAUGGUGAGAUUCUACAUUUUAAUGUAAAGACAAGCAUAUCUAUUUGAGUGAUCGGAAAGGCACCUAGAAUCUGAAAUAAUGUAGUAUGGUGAGAUUCUGCAUUUAAGUGUAAAGAUAGCAUAUCUAUUUGACUGAGACUAGCUUGUCUUUUAAAGUGCUUAUACAUAACUGGGUUUUUUCCCUUAAAACUGGAAAAUGCAAGUAAAGUAUUAUCAUAUCUCUUCUUCUGUGAAAGAACAGAACGAAAGCAAAACACGUGCUUUGAAGCUAGUUGGAAACUAACCUAGAUUGUUAUGCAUAGCUUAUCGAAUAUUUGUCUGUGAAACUUAAAAUUACAUUUCAUUUGCAGGAUGCGCACCAUUCUUUCAUUGAUGAUUCUGAAAUUAUAGUUGACUAUAACAGACAGCAAUUGAUGCCAGGAUGGAUCCCGAGAAGGUUAGGUUAGUUCAGCAACCUCUUUCUUUCCUUGCUGCCAAGAUAAGCUAAUAAAUUCUAGUAAUUCCUGCCAGGAGGAGGCCUUGGUGGUAGGAAAGAGUCAGGACAGCUUAGGUUUGGAGGACGAGAAAGACCAUUUCGAGCUCCUCUGUAAGCAUUCUCUAUUUUUAUAUGGGUUUAUGCAUUUCACGUGAAUUUUAAUAGUUUAUUAGUCUUUUGUUUUGCUUUUGCAUGUAUGAUGUGAGAUCUAUCUGUACUUUUUUUACAUAUUAUUUGCAUGGACUCAGGAAUCGUAGUCAUUGUGUGUGGAAUAAAAUAUGUUUUAUCUUAUUCAGCAUUUUAGUCACAUCCUAUUUGGUUCAUGAUUAUGAAGGGUCUUUCAAGGAAAAUGCACACUGGGAAACAAGGGUAAAGUAAAUGAAAUUUUAUGUGUUUCCUUUCCCGUGUUCAACUCAAGAAUAAGAAUUUUGCUGCUGACAGUCAUGUCAUAUCUUCCUUUUUCUGGAUCCUUACAGUCAGUAGUCUUCAUUGUUUAGCUUGAAUAAUAAUUAUCAACUUGUCAUCAAUAUUGGAUGUGAGUAUUUAGUCUUCAUCUGGGAGGAGACAAAUAUGCAAGAAAGAGUUCUAAUUCCUACCAUUAAUUUAAGGUGGUUACAGGGACAACUGUUGCUGUUUUGUACUUGUUUCAUGAAAAAAAAAAAUUAGCAUAGCAAAAAUAAGUCUAUGCAGUACCCAUAUCAUGAGUAUUUAAUAUGGAUUGGUGACUAGGAACUAUAUUAUCCUGUGUUUUCUUAUAAUUUAUGUGGGAGAACUUUACUUGGCCUGAGUAAGCUGAUCGUGGAAUUUUUUUUUUUUUCCAUAUUUAUUAGAGUUUUCAUUGAAAAUGCAUGCAUAUUAAAUUGAAUAGUGAAGUGUGAAUUUUUGUUGGGCUUAGGAUAUUUGUGUUCAGAAUGAAUAAUAUGGGAUCUUUUAGCGUGCUAGAAUAGUUUGUUCAAAGAUGUUGGAUAAAUUAUAGGGUCUUAAAUAAUGGAGAAGCGGCAUGUUAUGAAUUACUUUUACCAACCGAAAUUCGAAGGAGUAGGUGUGAUCCUUUUGGACACUUCAAAAAUCCUAGUAUUCUGUUGCAAAGAUGAAGCUGGGCCACAUUUGAUGAUUCUAACUCUUUCUAUAUUGUCAUUAUAUGAUCAGUCGCCCAAUCCCAUUGGAUGACUUGAAGAGGCUGGGCAUUCCACCUCCUCCAGAGGGACGGUACAUGUCUCGCUUUGAGGUAUUGUCUCUGUUGUAUCUAAAUGCUGCAUAUAGCUCCAUCAAAAUGCAUGUUUUAGCCCUCCUGAGUUAGUUAUGAAAUUUCAUUUACCAUUAAACUUCUAUACCAGAGUGUCAUGAUAUUUCUUAGGUUAAGUCUGACUAUAAUUCAAAACUAAGACCUGGACCAGCUAAAUGAACAAUGGCCUUGAUGGAGGUCACUUCCCUAUUCAUUCCAUCCAAUAUCCACUGCUCAAAAUGUUUUAUAUUCUUGUUGUACAAGAAGAGAUUUUCCAUGAAAAGGGUGCUCGCCUUUUUACUCAUGAAAAUAUAAUUUCCACUGUUGAGAAUUCCUUUUCACCUUUUUUUCCAUAAGUAAGCUUGGCCUAAUCAGCCUCUUUAUAGAUCUGCCUCGAUCCUUGUUCCCCUCCCCUUCUAAGAUACUCUUCCUUUUCUGGCAUUUGUGGAAACCAUCACUCUUGAGGACUUAAUUUGUGGGCAUGUAUGAGCAUGAAGGUUAAGUGGCAUUUCCGAGGUUGCUGCAAAUUUGGUGGGAGGUUACCCAGCAGGAAUUUUUCAGUUUUGAACUUAAUCCACUUUUUCGUGGCUUUAUUUGGGAUAAAGGCAUGUGGAAACUUUAACUCUUAGCAUUACUUUCUUCUAUACUAAGAUUUUACUGAAAUUCUUUACCUGAAUGUACCAUCAGAAAUGGAACUAUUAAUACUUUUACUUGGUAUAGGUUUCCAUGCUAUUGUUUGCCUUUUGCCCGUCAACAGGCAUAAUGUUUCCAACUCCAUUAGGGGGAGGAGGCUACAAUUAGCUUUCCGUAUUUCAUAGCACCUAUCUGGAUGAAUUUGAGUUUUUUAAGUCCUGUGGAGUGACUGGCCUUGGAGACACAGUUUACGCACAUUUGGUGAAUGGGCUGCAUGACGUUUUCAACUCCACAAGGGGAGGAGGCUAUAAUUAGCUUUCUGUACUUAAUUGCACCUUAAUGGACGAAUUUGGGUAUGUUAAGUGCCGUGGAGUGACUGGCCUUGGAGACAAAGUUUACGCACUUUUGGUGAAUGGGCUUGACCUUCUUUUCCCCUUGUUAACUUUCCUGUGAUAAUUCUACGGCAACCUGCACUGCCUCAUGUUGAGUUCAUUCUCCUUUAGGAAAUUUGCAAGAGAAGUAUAAGAGCAGUAGCCUUUUUGAGUUUUUCAUGAGUCGUGACAUUUAUCGUGAAUCUUGUAUGUCAGAAUGUCAUGAUCUUAUAUCUUUUUCAGGUUCCUUCACCCCCUAGAAGAGGACAGGGUUUGUUAGAUAAGGAAGAAGGAUCUUACAGAAGCUCUGGGAACAGAGAAGAGCAUACUCACAAAAGAAACUCUGAGGACAGGGAAGAUCGCGUGCAUGGGAGGAGCCCUGAUGAUACAUUAGAUCACUCUUAUGACAAAAGUUCCAAGGAAGAACAUCGCCAUGACAAGAGGCGCCAUAAGGAUCGGGAGUUUUCCAAUAGGAAGAGCUCAGUGGAAUUAGAAGAGAAGCGCCAUUACAGAAGCUCUGUGGAGAAGGAAGAAACUGUGAGAAGCUCUUUGGAUGGGGAAGAGCGCUCUUGCAAACCGAGCUCCAUUGAUGACGACGGACGUGUCAAGAAAAGGAGCAGAAGAAGUUCAUCGGAGAGAGAGGAUCAUAAAGAGAGAGACUCUUCUGAUAGAGAGGAGCGCCAUCACAAAAGCAGGUCUCGGGAUGAGAAAGAAUGCUCUUAUGAGCGUC